ensembl:snoRNA
CUGAGUGCGUGAUGAUGUAAGUUAUCCCUGACUGAAGGUCAAGAGGCCUUUCUGUGUGGAAUGUGGUUAUCUGAAGCUCAG